CCAUUAGAGGGGGAUAACUUGGCGAAAGUCAAGCUAAUACCGCGUAAGCUCGGGAGAGGAAAGCAGGGGAUCUUAGGACCUUGCGCUGAUGGAGCGGCCGAUGACUGAUUAGCUAGUUGGUGGGGUAAAGGCCUACCAAGGCGACGAUCGGUAGCUGGUCUGAGAGGAUGAUCAGCCACACUGGGGAUGAGAGACGGCCCAGACUCCUACGGGAGGCAGCAGUGGGGAAUUUUGGACAAUGGGCGGAAGCCUGAUCCAGCAAUGCCGCGUGGGUGAAGAAGGCCUUAGGGUUGUAAAGCCCUUUCGGUAGGGAAGAAAAGGUAUUUUUAAAUAGAGGAUACUGAUGACGGUACCUGCAGAAGAAGCACCGGCAAACUACGUGCCAGCAGCCGCGGUAACACGUAGGGUGCGAGCGUUAAUCGGAAUUAUUGGGCGUAAAGGGUACGCAGGCGGGUGUGUAAGUCAGGUGUGAAAUUCCUGGGCUCAACUUGGGGACAGCACUUGAGACUGCAUAGCUAGAGUAUGGCAGAGGGGGGUGGAAUUUCACGUGUAGCAGUGAAAUGCGUAGAGAUGUGAAGGAACACCGAUGGCGAAGGCAGCCCCCUGGGCCGUUACUGACGCUCAUGUACGAAAGCGUGGGGAGCGAACAGGAUUAGAUACCCUGGUAGUCCACGCCCUAAACGAUGUCGACUAGUUGUUGGGGUUAUUAUAACUUUAGUAACGUAGCUAACGCGUGAAGUCGACCGCCUGGGGAGUACGAUCGCAAGAUUAAAACUCAAAGGAAUUGACGGGGACCCGCACAAGCGGUGGAUGAUGUGGAUUAAUUCGA
rnacentral:rRNA from 1 species